rnacentral:rRNA from 1 species
AGCGAACGCUGGCGGCAGGCCUAACACAUGCAAGUCGAACGAAUCCUUCGGGAUUAGUGGCGGACGGGUGAGUAACACGUGGGAACGUGCCUUUUGGUUCGGAACAACUCAGGGAAACUUGAGCUACUACCGGAUGUGCCCUUCGGGGGAAAGAUUUAUCGCCAUUAGAGCGGCCCGCGUCUGAUUAGCUUGUUGGUGAGGUAAAGGCUCACCAAGGCUACGAUCAGUAGCUGGUCUGAGAGGAUGAUCAGUCACACUGGGACUGAGACACGGCACAGACUCCUACGGGAGGCAGCAGUGGGGAAUCUUGCGCAAUGGGCGAAAGCCUGACGCAGCCAUGCCGCGUGAAUGAUGAAGGUCUUAGGAUUGUAAAAUUCUUUCACCGGGGACGAUAAUGACGGUACCCGGAGAAGAAGCUCCGGCUAACUUCGUGCCAGCAGCCGCAGUAAAAC